ACGGGAGGCAGCAGUGGGGAAUAUUGCACAAUGGGGGAAACCCUGAUGCAGCGACGCCGCGUGAGUGAAGAAGUAUUUCGGUAUGUAAAGCUCUAUCAGCAGGGAAGAUAAUGACGGUACCUGACUAAGAAGCCCCGGCUAACUACGUGCCAGCAGCCGCGGUAAUACGUAGGGGGCAAGCGUUAUCCGGAUUUACUGGGUGUAAAGGGAGCGUAGACGGCAUAGCAAGUCUGAAGUGAAAAUCCAGAGCUCAACUCUGGAACUGCUUUGGAAACUGCCAGGCUAGAGUGCAGGAGGGGCAAGCGGAAUUCCUAGUGUAGCGGUGAAAUGCGUAGAUAUUAGGAGGAACACCAGUGGCGAAGGCGGCUUACUGGACUGUAACUGACGUUGAGGCUCGAAAGCGUGGGGAGCAAACAGGAUUAGAUACCCUGGUA
rnacentral:rRNA from 1 species